AAUCCAUAAAAAUUUGCAAAAUUCCAAAAAAAAAAAAAAAAAAAAAAAUUUAGUUAUAUCAUUUGCAUCUUUAGGUUUGAGUCUAGAUCAUAUAGAAUGCAUAGGUAAAAUCCCUACAAAGGACUCAUGCAAUGAACUCAUUGUUGAUACCCUUUUGAAUCAUAAUAAGUAGCUUGAGCUUCUUCUGAAUUUCUUGUAGACUUCGAGCCUUGAAAACUCCUCUUAAGACUCAUUGAAUCUUACUCUUUGAAACCAACUCCGAUCUUAAUUGACUAAAAUGAACUUAAUGCUUCUUGCUUAUGGUCUCUUGAGUACUAAAUCAUGUCUUUACACACACUUGAGCUUGUAUAAACCGUUUUACCAAUCUUUUUGACAACUCAAGUGGUAGUCCAUACCCUAAACCCUUCCCUUCUUUCAAACCAUCAUUAAUUGUUGAGUGAGGUCUUUUUGUGAAAGCUUGUCAUAUGCAAAAUCUUGAGAGUAUUAGGAGCGACAUUGAUUUGUUCUCUUCUCUUGCUAGCAUUAGGACCUCUUUUGGGCUAGAAUCUAGGAUGGUGGUUGGAAUGAUGUGCUUUAAUUAUUUUGAUCUUGAGGAUUGAAUUGGGAAAGAUUAUGUAAAGGAAAUGAAUAAAAAAGUGUGUCUAAAAAAAAAAAAAAAAACUCAGAUUGUGUCAAUAAAAACCCCAAAAAGAAAAGAAAAAAAGAAAAAAAUAAGAGAAUGGGGAUAACAAAUUUUUGAGCUAAGAUACAUAGUUGUUAAGACAAAGAAAAGAAAAGAAAAGAGUGUUCAUUGGGUAAGAGAUGAAAAUGGGUGUACAUUUGGGAUUUGAGAUGAAGAAAAGAAAGGGUAGAACUUAAAAAUUGUCUAGGAAAAGGGUACAAUGAUGAGAACCGAUUUAUGUAUGCAUUAAUUGCUCUUUUUCUUAGAUAAAUUUUGCAUAAUGAUCAAGCUCCUAUUCUUGAGUGUAAGUCACCAUAGCAAAAUGUAUUUGGACCCUUCUCAUUCUUCACAUUAAGCCAUUUUUUCUCACCAAACCAAAUGAUUUGGACCAAUUGGCAAUUUGCGAGAAUUCACUUAUGAUAUUUCUUAUUGAAUGUGAGAGUUGGUUGAUUUGAGGAUUCAUGAUAAUGAGUUAAAAGAUCAAAGGAAUUGAUAGGCCUAGAGAAGUUAGAGCUAAUAAAAACAUCUUGCUCUUGCUAUUUGGUAUGAUUUUGUAAGGAUAUCACAACGAUGGCAUUGAAGAGUUUCUUAAGGUCAUGAAUUUCCAUUUGUGUAUUGAAACAUCACUUCCCAUGUUCUUGAAAGUUUACUUGAGGACAAGUAAAGGACUAGUGUGGGGGAGUUGAUGUGUUGUGAUUUUGCAUAGUUUUAGCUUUGUUAUUUCAUAUAUAUUCAUGCAUUAACCUUACAUUUAUUUGCAUUUAGAGUCUAUUGCAUGUACAUUUGCAUCUUGUAGGUGUUGGAUGAAUUGUUUGGAGUUUUGGAGGUGAUUAGAGCACAAAAGGAGCUUUCGAGGAGUCUUGAACCGAACGUGUGAAAGACAAGCAUGGAUGAAGGUCUUAAAGAUAUCUUUUGAAACUUGUCUUUUGGGAAGACAUGGUAAAUUGAGUUAGCUUUACAAUGGAGGUGGUUUCAAGUCGUUUGGAGCUGUAUUGAGGGAUUUAUGAUCAAAAUACUACACACAUAUCAGUGUGUGCAACAUGGAGAAAGUGGAGAAAACUUUAAUGAGUGAGUUUUAUCUCUUUAAAGCUUGCAACAUGGGGGAUGGGUUGUCUAUCAUGAGUUUGGUGGCUCUUUUGGCCUAACUUUCUCUACCUUUUCUGAAGAGGCAAGACUACUUUGGCCAUAUGAAGGGGCAAAAGGUGUUCUAUAAUGGAAGAAAGUGGAGAAUAACUUUUAUGAGUGUGUUUUAUGCUUUAUGCUUUCACAUGAUGGAUGUGUUGUCAUCCUCCUUUACUUAGGCUAUAAAAGAGACUGCAAGGGGAAGGAGGAAGACACACAAUACACAGAGUACAAUACAACAAAGAGUAGAGAGUGAAAGUUUUAUAGUUUCAUAUUUUGUAUUUUGAGAGUUUGAGAGAAAACAUUUGUUCUUGAGCUGUUCUUCAUUGUUCAUCAUCUAUUCUUGAGUUUUAAUUUC